rnacentral:rRNA from 1 species
UACGUAGGGCGCAAGCGUUGUCCGGAAUUAUUGGGCGUAAAGAGCUCGUAGGCGGUUUGUCGCGUCUGCUGUGAAAACUGGGGGCUCAACCCCCAGCCUGCAGUGGGUACGGGCAGACUAGAGUGCGGUAGGGGAGAUUGGAAUUCCUGGUGUAGCGGUGGAAUGCGCAGAUAUCAGGAGGAACACCAAUAGCGAAGGCAGCUCGCUGGGACGUUACUGACACUGAGGCGCGAAAGCGUGGGGAGCGAACAGG